AGUUUUAAUUAAGAUGCCAGGGUUAAUUUCAUACAUAUUCCUACAAAUUGAUUUUUCUAUAUUGUUUCUGCAAAAGUCCUGAUACUUUUAAAUAUAUCUCUGUCAUUAGAAUUCGUUAAAAAAAGAGUUAGUUAACCACAUGUUAAAUACUUAACCCUAGUUAGUUUUUGACAUUUUUAUCCCUUUAUAUUAUACUAGUAUGACUUUUGGAGGGAUAUAUUUGUGAAAAAUUAGUUGCUGUUAUCUCUGAAAAAUUACCAUUUUGCCCAUUCCAAUAUACCCUCGUACCGUAACUCACUUAUCUUAUAUACCCUUCAUAUAACAAAUAUUUUUCUUAUUUGCCCUUCAAAUAUCAAUUAAUUAAUUAAGCACGUUGGGAGCGAGCAGAUGAACGGAUGAGAUUGAUCGCAGCUAAACCAAUCUUAGUGGUUGGAGGCAUAGUUAGUUAAUUCAGAUUCGGCAAAAAUUCGGUACAGAUAUAAUUCGGAUAAAAUUCGUCUUUUAAUUUUUAAAUUCGUUGAAAAAUACGGCUAAAAACGAAUUU
rnacentral:lncRNA from 1 species